UUGAGUUUGAUUUCUUAUUCUAUUUGAAGGAAAUUUUUUAGAAUAACAGAUACAUGUAUAAUAAACACAUUUUCGAACGUAAAGAGGGAAAGUAGGAAUGGGAUGGAAGUGAGACCACUGAAAUUCACUGGCUCCAUGUGGGAGCUCAGGGCCAUAGUGUCAUCAUCUACAAAUGGCACUGAAGUUUCUCCUGCCAUUGAUACAAGUUUGC
rnacentral:lncRNA from 1 species